rnacentral:snRNA from 1 species
GUGCUUGCUUCAGCAGCACAUAUACUAAAACUGAAAUGAUACAGAGAUGAUUAGCAUGGCCCCUGCACAAGGAUUACAUGCAAAUUUGUGAAGUGUUCUGUAUUUCU